rnacentral:SRP_RNA from 1 species
AUUGGUCUUCCUGGUGGCGAUUGGUUGUAAACCCGGUCAGGUCCGGAAGGAAGCAGCCGCAGCAGCUGUGUCGAGUAUCGGGACUGGGCUGAUCGG